AAUAAGAAAAUUUAAACUCAUUGAGAACAACAUUACAAUAAAAUACUAAUAUAUUUUGCUAGGUCAAGUAUAUUUAGACAUGGAGAAAACUUCAUUGAAGGCACAAUACAAUGCCCUUGGUGGCUUUUCUUAUGAUUUUCUCAUGUGAGUCUCCAUCUUCAUCUCAAGUGAAAUAAAAAUGUUUUAUUGGUUUUGAAUAAAAUAAUUAAUCACUUGGUUUUUAUUUGUAAACACAUGAAUAUAUUCUCACCAUAAAUAUAUAACUUGGGUUUAUUAUUUAAUUAGCUAGCAAAUGAUAAUGAUUGCCAACAUAUUGCUUUGCCCAUAUAGUCACGUUCAUCAUCGCGUUGAUAAUAUAUACAAAUGUAUCGAUCAAUUAAUGUAAAUUUGAAUUAUUCAUGUAAAGAUGGUCACACAUGCUCCAAAAAGAAAUUUGAUUCAAUGUUUUAAUAUAUUCAUUUUUAUUAAUUACAUAUUGUUAAACUCUAAUCGUCUUUUCGAUAUCAU
rnacentral:lncRNA from 1 species